CUCACGGCCCCGCCCCCGGCCGGCGACGGACAGGGCCGUCACCCCUCAGGGCCUCACCUUACGUCCUCCCAGGCACUGGAGUGGCCCAGGGUCUCUGAGGACCCCGACCCAGCGCGCCGCUGGGAGUGAGACCGCCUGCCGGGCUUCGCGCCACCCCCACCCCAGACUGGGGCACUGGAGGGAAGGCAGUUCUGACAGUCUGCCCUCGCGUGUCCCGCCUGGCCCAAGUGUCCUGGGCCCCCAGGCCUGCUCUGCACACCACCUUUUCAGGCCCAGGAGGGGCCCCCUCACCCGCGUCCAUCACACUUUGCCUCCAGUGUAUCUGGGGGCCUGCAGGAGCCGCCCAGCACGGAUACUACCACCACCCUCCCAGGAGUCUGGUGAAGCCCCGAGCCAGCCGGCCUCCAACCAUCCCACUGCCCCAGGGAAGCGCGAGGUCAGCUCUGAGCCCCCAAGUUAACGGAUCACCCCAACAAACUAGGUUCCUUUUACAGGCGGGGAGGAAGCCAAGGGAAAGGUGUUUGCGGGGGGGGGGGGGGGGGGGGGGCCCACGGCUACCACGUGGGGGUGGGGAUUCUGCCCUAAGCCUCUCCGUUAACGCUGCUAACCCUCCGUCCCGGAGAGGAGGGGAAGCGGCAGGCUGGCUAGUGCCUCAGUGUGCUCGCCCGAGGGGCCCGGAGCAGGAAGCACCUGGCCUGGAGCGGAUGCACAAGGCGCCUGGUUCCGGUCCGGCUUCCGCCACCGCGGCCCUGUGGGGAGCUCGGCCAGAGAAACCGGGCGGCGACGCGAGGCAGGGUAGGGGCUGGGUGACUGGAGGGCCCGCCUGUGUCUGGGUGCGCGCCAACAGGGGGGCGGAGGCCCCACGAACACGAGCGCACGGCUGCCGCCCCGUGGCCGGCCCGGGAACUGCAGGCGCCAGCAAAGGGGCGGGGGGCUGAGCGCCUCGUGCUGCGAGACAGACCAUCCCGCUGGCCGCCGGUCAGCUCCCACACCCCCAUACAGACAGAACACUCCAGAUGGCAAUACUGACAGCACUUCGGUCGGGCAGGGACAAACAAACCUCCAGAUGCGUAGCGCUUUCCCAGGGAGUGAAACAAAAAAAGAUGCACAGAGGAACGCAUGCUCCAGACACGCAGCUGGAGAGACGGACAGAGCCCCUAAGGCAGAUGGACAGACAGACCCGCAGGCAGCCUCCCGACUCAGACGAAUGGCAGUCGGAAAGGUGACAUAUCUUUAUUGGCUCAGUCUACAUCCGGACCAGCGGCAACGCCAGACCCAGGCGGGUUCUGGUAAGAGGUCUUGGGAUGGUCAGGGGAGGCGGCUGCAGCCGUGUCCUCGGGUGCUGGGGGGCUGUGGGAGUAGCAGCACUGGUCCCCGCGUUGACAGGUGCCCUGGUGGGAGAACGGUGGGUGUGAACCCUGGCUCAGUGCUCAGCAGCCUCUGCUGGGUCCCCUUCCUAGACGGGGAGCUCGCUCGCACGCCCUGCCCGCCCCGGUUCUCCCAGCCCUGCUGCAGGGAGGGCGAUCCCUGGGUGCUGCUGUGUAGGGGUGGUGGGGGUGCCUUACCUCCUUGAAUCUUUUACAGGGAAAGGUCUUGAGCCGGGCAGCCCGCUGGACCGGGUCCUCAGCUGGCUCCUUUCUCUUAUUCUGGUGCAGCCUGCGUCUCUCCUCCAUACCUUCACCUGCGGCCUUGCUCCUGUGCAGGCAGAGGAGUAGCUGGGACCCCGUCCCGCCCUGGACAAGCCCCACCGCCACCCGCGCUCUCACUCACCCUGGCCGGGCACGGGGCCGGGGGCCCCAGUUGGCCUCAGGAUUAGCCUGGAAACGCUUGAGUCCUCGCUGGCGGGAGCUGGGGUUGGCGUCAUCCCGGAUGGCGAAGUUGGCCUGCAGCCUGGGGACGUGGGAGUGGGGGCUGAGGGGCAGGUGCCCUGCAGGUGCGCACGGACCACCUGCCAACCCCCGUGCAGCUCCACGUGCCUUGGGAAGGCCGUGUCCGCCCGGGUCGGGAUUCUCAUCCAGUUAAUGAACGUGUAUCCAGUGCCUACCGCGAGCCUAAGAUCUGCCAUUGGUAAGGCCGACGUUCCAGUGCGGGAGACGAUGGGACAGAUCAGAGGAUCUGCGUUGUCCCCUGCCCACACGUGAGCCCCCCACGCCCGCGGGCAGCCACACCAGUGCCCGUACCUGGGCUCCACGCUGAGAAUGCGGAACGCAGGGCUGGCCUCUGACAGCCUUUCCCGCUUCACCGGACACUCCUUUUCCUGGGAGGUAAAGUUCGAAGGUCAGGGGACGCUGGGCCUGACCAUGUCCCGCCCUCGCACCCCCAUCUGGUCAGGCCAGCCCUCACCCAGCAGCGCAUGAUGUCCCAGAGGGCCGAGGAGGGGGCAUCCGUCUUCACGGCAUUCUUACAGGCGUGGGAGAGUGAGACCCGGAAGCCGGCACAGAGGAGGGCUGACCUGGGGACCAAGAGGGGCCGUGGGUGGGGGGCGGGGGGCCGGACCCCAAAGCCAGUGCCGAUCCGUGCGGGGGUGUGACGCAGCUGAACGUCUCACGGUGACUACGCGGCCCGGGGAACGCCAGUGAUCGUGAUGGGGAGACCAUCUCCCUCCCCAAGGCUCAAGGCCUCCGCGCUCUCUUCUAAGCACCUGCACGUAGGCCUGUUGGAAAGCCGUUUUACCCAAGACUCUGGCCUUGAGGGGGGCCGGCCUUGCCCCAGGGCCCCCGGAGGGCCCCCGGAGGGCCCCCAGAGGGCGGGCGAAGGGCGCAGACUCCUUCCCGCCCGGGACUGGGCGCUCACCGCAGCUGCAGGAGGCUGGGCGUGCUGCAGCGGAGGGUGCUGCUCAGCUGGUCCAGCGUGUAGUAGAGAGGCACGUCCGGGAGCUCCUGCCGGUGGGGACAGGACGGGCGCGGGGUGGGUGGGGGAAGGAUGGCUGGGCGCAGGCGGGGCCCCCUCCCCGUCGCCCCGGGCCCCCACCUCGGUGAUGACGCUCAGGACCCCCUGGAUUCGCUCCGAGGUGUGGAAGCGGCCGGGAUUGGUGCUCACGGCCUGCAGCACGCGCCCCACGAAGUCCAGGUCGUGGAUGGGCUCCGCCCACAGGGGACCGCCAAGCUACAGACACGUGGCGGGGGGGGGGGAGGGGGCGAAGGGCCAGGUGUCAAGAGAGCCGGAACCCCAGCGUCCCCCUGGUUUCCCCGGCCCUGCCUCACCUGGUGUCGCUGCCCACAGUGCUCACACUCAGGGCCGAUCGGGGGACCACAGGCCGCAGAGAACUUGACCCUGCGGAGAGAGGGGUGGUUAGGAGGCGGCGACCCUAGGCCGCCUCCUUCACCUUCCUCCCCCGGCUCACCCGUGCUCACCGGCCGCCAGAGGCUCCGGACGCUUUGCCAAGGCGCUGGAGGUGAAAGGUCCCGCAGCCCACACACUGGAACACCAGUGCCUGCUUGCUGGGGGGCGGGGGGGGGGGGGGGGGGGCAGGGCUCAUAAGCUCCCCAGCCUGACCGCCGCACCCCAGCUCCUCCCCAUUAGGAGUCCCGUUUCCUCCCGUGCCCCAAAAGGCCCUGUUGCCCCCCCUCUGUUCGUUGCCUCCCUUGCUUGCCCCAGACUAACCUGGCUGAGGCCUUGACUUUGGCCUGGCCGGUGAAGACGCGGACAAAAACUCUCACGUAGAAGUCAGCGCUGACGCUGAGCAGUGGCACCACAAAGCGCUGGUAGCAGUUGGCUCGGAGGUCCAGGCUGUGCAGGACGAUCCUCAGGGCCUGAGGGUGGGAGGCGGGCAUCAGCCAGCAGCCCUGCCUCCACGGACGCCUCCCAGCUACCCUGGGGCCACACCAGGUGCUCCUAAGCACAGGCUCAGGGGCGGCUCCCCGGUGUUGCAAGCCCAGGCCCAAGCGUCCUGGCCGUGUGACCCCUGCCAAGUGAAUGCCUCAGUUCCCCCAUCGACGGAAUCACAACAGCCUAUGUCUCUUUAUGGGCCUCCCGGGGGUGCUACGUGGUUACGGAGCGCACAGGCCCGCCAUCCAGGGCAGCACCAUCCACGUGCCCCGCGCUAUGCGAUGGGCUCCAAGGACCUGUGUUCCGGUUUUCCAGACUGACCUGGCGACAGGGCCCUUACGGAACAAAGCCAGGCCAUCCUCCUUUCCGGCUCCCGCCCUCUCGGAUCCCCACGGCAAUUCACCGUCAAUUCACCGUCGUGCGCAUUUCACAGAGGCCAAAAGCGAGGCCCAGAAGGGUGAAAUGAAUCACCCAAAGGCGCCAGCAAAGCUAGGAUUUGAACCCAAAGCCAAACCCACUCCUGGAAACUGUCUUAAAUCACAAUUUUGAACGAGUUGUUAAAACCGAGGGUACUAGGAAAAAUAAUGCGGCCACUGGCUCCUGCCCUGGGCAAAACCGCAGCCGUCCGAGUGACCAGAACUGGAAGUGCGGGCUCUAGAACUAUUCUGGCUAUAGACCUGCUUGUCUUUGACAUCUUGGGACGGAUCUGGCCCCUGCUGCCUGGAGGAAGCGAAGCAACACUGCCAUGUCGGUGCAGGUGACACACAGCAGACCUGCAAGGAAGGCCUGAGCAGUGAGGAUCCUCCGGAAACCCCGAGCCCUGCUCUGUGCCCAGGAUGACAUGAUACUCUAUAUGGAACACGCAAAAGAUUCCACAAAAAAGCUACUGGACUGAUCCAUGAAUUCAGCAAAGUCGCAGGAUAUAAAAUCAAUGCACAGAAAUCAGUUGCAUUUCUAUACACCAAUAGUGAAGCAACAGAGAGAGAAAUCAAGAAUUGAUCCCAUUCACAACUGCACCAAAAACCACAGAGUAUCUAGGAAUGAACCUAACCAAAGAGGUGAAAAAUCUAUAUGCUGAAAGCUAAAGAAAACUUAUGAAAGAAACUGAAGACACAAAAAAAUGGAAAAAGAUUCCUUGCUCCUGGGUUGGAAGAACAAAUGUUAAAAUGUCGAUACUCCCCAAAGGAAUCUACAUAUUCAAUGCAAUGCCUAUCAAAAUAACACCAGCAUUCUUCACAGAGCUAGAACAAAAAACCCUAAAAUCUGUAUGGAACCAGAAAAGACCCUGAAUAGCCAAAGCAAUCCUGAAAAAGAAAACCAAAGCAGGAGGCAUCACAAUCCCGGACUUCAAGCUGUAUUACAAAGCUGUAAUCAUCAAGACAGUAUGGUACUGGCUCAAAAACAGACACUCAGAUCAACGGGACAGAAUAGAGAACCCAGAAAUGGACCCACAAACAUAUGGCCAACUAAUCUUCGACAAAGCAGCAAAGAAUAUCCAAAGGAAUAAAGACAGUCUCUUCAGCGAAUAGUGCUGGGAAAACUGGACAGCAACAGGCGAAAAAUGAACCUGGACCACUUUCCUACACUAUACACAAAAAGAAACUCAAAAUGGAUGAAACACCUAAAUGUAAGUCAGGAAGCCAUCAAAAUCCUCGAGGAGAAAGCAGGCAAAAACCUCUCUGACCUCGGCCACAGCAACUUCUUACUCAACAGGUCUCCGGAGGCAAGGGAAACAAAAGCAAAAAUGAACCAUUGGGACCUCAUCAAAAUUAAAAGCCUCUGCACAGCGAAGGAAUCAGCAAAACUAAAAGGCACCCAACAGAAUAGGAGAGGACAUUUGCAAAUGAUGUAUCAGACAAAGGGUUAGUAUCCAAAAUCUAGAAAGAACUUAUCAAACUCAACACCCAAAAAACAAAUAAUCCAGUGAAGAAAUGGGCAAAACACAUGAAUAGACACUUUUCCAAAGAAGACAUCCUGGCUAACAGACACAUGAAGAAAUGCUCAACAUCACUCACCAUCAGGGAAAUACAAAUCGAAACCCCAAUGAGAUACCACCUCACAUCUGUCAGAACGGCUCACAUUAACAACUCCGGCAACAACAGAUGUUGAGGAGGAUGCAGAGAAAGAGGAUCUCUUUUGCCCUGCUGGACGGAAUGCAAACUGGUGCAGCCACUCUGGAAAACAGUAUGGAGGUUCCUCAAAAAAUUAAAAAUAGGGGCGCCUGGGUGGCGCAGUCGGUUAAGCGUCCGACUUCAGCCAGGUCACGAUCUCGCGGUCCAUGAGUUCGAGCCCCGCGUUGGGCUCUGGGCUGAUGGCUCGGAGCCUGGAGCCUGUUUCCAAUUCUGUGUCUCCCUCUCUCUCUGCCCCUCCCCCGUUCAUGCUCUGUCUCUCUC